UCGUUACCUAUUUGUAUCUUCUCUCAAUUUCUAUUAACCUUGUCUUCUCUCUGAUUGUAUCACACAACUUUUCCCACAAUCAGAAAAAAGGCCCAAAAUCAUCUGGUAGUUAGCCAAAUAAGUCAACUGCCAUUAGUCUCUUAAGUUCUCCUAGACUAUGAUCACGGUCAUAUUAUUUAUCCAUAAUUUUUAAAAAUUAAUUACAUAUAUAUACCUAUAUAUAUAUAAAUUUGAUAAUAUUAAUAUCUUACAUCGUAUUUUAUUCGAUAUUAUAUUAUAGUAACUAAUAUUACUUUGUAAUAUUAUACGAAAAGCGUAUUAAGUAUUACACCUUACAUGUGUACGUAUUUUCUAUAUGAUAGCCAAAAUUUCUUCAUAGAAAUAAUAAAAUGAUCAAUAUAUAUAAAUAUGACGAGGAAUCUACAAGACAUUGCAUUCCUGUCCUUUUGACAACGGAAAAUAAUGAGAAGAGGGAAUCGACACCUGACAAAAGUGUAUUUUUUGUGUUGGCAAUGUAAUGCCGUGAGCUAUUUAAUCAUAUUUCAUACGUCACAGCCAAUGAGUUCUAAUAUUAUCUGGCCGGAGGAGCGCAACCUCCAACCAUGCAACUUGUUGGGGUG
rnacentral:lncRNA from 1 species